CUCUGUUCUUCUUGGUAGGCAAAAAUCUGAAGCCCGGGAUGUAGACGCUUCUUACAGACUGAGAGAAGAGGUGCAUGUGCUGUUCCUGUAAGGCAAAUAUUCGCUUCCCUUCAUCAAAACUGCUUCCAAAAGCCGUUCUGGAUAUGACAUCUGCUGAGAGGUCAUGAAGUUCUUUAUUCACUUCCAUCUCGAACUCAUCUCUCCCUCCCCGUAUUUCCUCCCACUUGUUUAGCAUAUUCCCAGUGCUAGCCACAAUUUCUGACACCCAACCCUUAACCCGCUCCAUUUUAAAAGCCUGGUUUGCGAUCCUUCUAUGAAAGGCCCAUUUCUCGCCUUCGAGCCCACCGAGUCCCUCCCCGAAUAGCUUCNNNNNNNNNNNAGGGUUUUGCGCAACCCUCUUGAAAGACCCACCACCAGUAUUCAUCAGAACCUCCUUAAUCACAUCCAGAUUAGAUAUAGCCAACCUGGGCCUCGCCCCGAACCAGUAAACGUACAUCUUUCCAUAUGUGCGCGACCAGUGGUAGUGAAAUGGAGCCACACGGUGAAGCACAUCGUGGUUCAAACACGACGUUUUCUUGGACUGAGCUUCUACGUAUAGACGGCGGAUCUCCGCAGUGUUACCGGUGAUCGGACGGUAGUUAGGACCAAUUAUGCCUUGCUUUUUGAAGUGAUGUUGGAUCCUUAGAGGGACCCAUAUGGUGGAGUAUAUAAAUUUGACAAGGCAGACAAUUAGUAACAGGAUCAGGAUUUGAAGAAGCAGCAACAGCAGAGGAGGCA
rnacentral:misc_RNA from 1 species